rnacentral:rRNA from 1 species
GACGAACGCUGGCGGCGUGCCUAACACAUGCAAGUCGAACGGAACUCAUUGGAAUGAGACUUCGGUCGAAUGAUAGUGAGUUUAGUGGCGGACGGGUGAGUAACGCGUGAGCAACCUGCCUUUCAGAGGGGGACAACAGUUGGCAACGACUGCUAAUACCGCAUGAUGUAUUUCGAGGGCAUCUUUGAAAUACCAAAGAUUUUAUCGCUGAAAGAUGGGCUCGCGUCUGAUUAGUUAGUUGGUGGGGUAACGGCCUACCAAGACUACGAUCAGUAGCCGGACUGAGAGGUUGAACGGCCACAUUGGGACUGAGAUACGGCCCAGACUCCUACGGGAGGCAGCAGUGGGGAAUAUUGGGCAAUGGGGGCAACCCUGACCCAGCAACGCCGCGUGAAGGAAGAAGGCUUUCGGGUUGUAAACUUCUUUGACGAGGGACGAAUAAAUGACGGUACCUCGAAAACAAGCCACGGCUAACUACGUGCCAGCCGCCGCGGUAAAAC